rnacentral:misc_RNA from 1 species
UCCUAGUUAACCUAGGCAGUCUCAUUAGAGUCCCCACCUCGCGUGUUGGCAACUAAUGAUAAGGGUUGCGCUCGUUGCGGGACUUAACCCAACACCUCACGGCACGAGCUGACGACAGCCAUGCAGCACCUACACAGCAGCCCUUGCGGGAAUUACCAUCUCUGGUAACGUCUCCUGUAUUUCAAACCUGGGUAAGGUUCUUCGCGUUGCAUCGAAUUAAACCACAUGCUCCACUGCUUGUGCGGGCCCCCGUCAAUUCUUUUGAGUUUCACCCUUGCGAGCGUACUCCUCAGGCGGUAUACUUAACGCGUUAGCUCCGACACAGCCAGGGUUGAGCCCAGCUACAUCAAGUAUACAUCGUUUACGGCAAGGACUAC